rnacentral:rRNA from 1 species
UACGUAGGGUGCAAGCGUUAAUCGGAAUUACUGGGCGUAAAGCGUGCGUAGACGGUUAUUUAAGUCGGGUGUGAAAGCCCCGGGCUCAACCUGGGAACUGCGUCCGAUACUGGAUGGCUUGAAUUCGGGAGAGGGAUGCAGAAUUCCAGGUGUAGCGGUGAAAUGCGUAGAUAUCUGGAGGAAUACCGGUGGCGAAGGCGGCAUCCUGGACCGACAUUGACGCUGAACGGCGAAAGCUAGGGGAGCAAACGGG